rnacentral:tRNA from 1 species
CGCAGGUUGGAGCAGUUGGUCAGCUCGCUAGGUUCAUGUCCUAGAGGUCGCAGAUUCGAGUUCUGCACCUGCCA